AGAGUUUGAUCCUGGCUCAGAACGAACGCUGGCGGCGUGCCUAACACAUGCAAGUCGAACGUGAUUAGAGGGCUUGCUCUCUAUGAAAGUGGCGCACGGGUGAGUAACGCGUAGAUAAUCUGCCUGGUGAUUUGGGAUAACACUUCGAAAGGGGUGCUAAUACCGGAUAAGCCCACGGAGUCCUUGGACUCUGCGGGAAAAGGAGGGGACCUUCGGGCCUUCCGUCAUCAGAUGAGUCUGCGUACCAUUAGCUAGUUGGUAGGGUAAAGGCCUACCAAGGCGACGAUGGUUAGCUGGUCUGAGAGGAUGAUCAGCCACACUGGAACUGAGACACGGUCCAGACUCCUACGGGAGGCAGCAGUGGGGAAUUUUGCGCAAUGGGGGAAACCCUGACGCAGCAACGCCGCGUGAGUGAUGAAGGCCCUUGGGUCGUAAAGCUCUGACAGAGGGAAAGAAAUGUGGGUGGCUAAUAUCCAUUCCACUUGACGGUACCCUCAAAGGAAGCACCGGCUAACUCCGUGCCAGCAGCCGCGGUAAUACGGAGGGUGCGAGCGUUGUUCGGAUUUAUUGGGCGUAAAGCGCGUGUAGGCGGUUUUAUAAGUCUGAUGUGAAAGCCCCGGGCUCAACCUGGGAAGUGCAUUGGAUACUGUAAGACUUGAAUACGGGAGAGGGCAGUGGAAUUCCUGGUGUAGGAGUGAAAUCCGUAGAUAUCAGGAGGAACACCGGUGGCGAAAGGCGGCUGCCUGGACCGAUAUUGACGCUGAGACGCGAAAGCGUGGGUAGCAAACAGGAUUAGAUAC
rnacentral:rRNA from 1 species